UGUGAGAGCAAGAGCCCGGAGAUGGAUUCUGAGACACGAAUCCAGGCCCUACGGGGCGCAGCAGGCGCGAAAACUUUACAAUGCGAGAAAUCGUGAUAAGGGAACCCCGAGUGCCCGUAAAUUCGGGCUGUCCGCCAGUGUAAAUAACUGGUGAAGAAAGGGCCGGGCAAGACCGGUGCCAGCCGCCGCGGUAAUACCGGCGGCUCGAGUGGUGGCCACUAUUACUGGGCUUAAAGCGUCCGUAGCUGGAUUGUUAAGUCUCUUGGGAAAUCCACCGGCUCAACCGAUGGGCGUUCAGGAGAAACUGGCAAUCUAGGGACCGGGAGAGGUGAGAGGUACUCCAGGGGUAGGAGUGAAAUCCUGUAAUCCUUGGGGGACCACCUGUGGCGAAGGCGUCUCACUAGAACGGCUCCGACAGUGAGGGACGAAAGCUGGGGGAGCAAACCGGAUUAGAUACCCGGGUAGUCCCAGCUGUAAACGAUGCGCGUUAGGUGUAUCGGUGACCACGAGUCAUCGAGGUGCCGAAGGGAAACCGUGAAACGUGCCGC
rnacentral:rRNA from 1 species